AGCUUUGCGCAGUGGCAGUAUCGUAGCCAAUGAGGUUUAUCCGAGGCGCGAUUAUUGCUAAUUGAAAACUUUUCCCUUUCCAUCCUAUAUACAUCAUUAUGUACAUGGUAGCACUGACACUCAGACUUCAGC
rnacentral:snRNA from 1 species